ACUACUUCAAGGUCUCAGAGCAAGUGACGUCACUGAUUGAAACGCUAUUUAGCGCCCACGCUAACUAAGCUAGCCGUUUCACAUCCGUUACAUGUACACCAAGGUAAUUAUUUGUCAUGCCUCAUUGUAGGAGGAUCAGCAGCUUAGCAGAGUCAGGCAGCCAGGGAAGACCAGUCUGUGACAGAGCCUAUCGGAUUUCCUGUUAUCAAGCUAUUGCCUGAUCUCCCAGACGACGUUAUUAGCCUUUUCCUUGCCUUUUUGGACCCCCUGUGUAUGACAUUCUGCCUGCCCCUGGACCCAGCUACCUGCUUCCUCCUGUGAUCCUUCACAAAUAAACAGCUGAUGCGCCCUGCGCUUGAAACCA